rnacentral:lncRNA from 1 species
AAAAAACCCCAGUAUUUUCCGGUAUACCGAAAAAAACGCCUCGGCCUAGGUUUCUCACUCAAAAAUACGGAAAAACUCAUGGUUGGAAAGUUGGAAACCUUUGUAGAGGAGGGAGCACCAAUAUGGUUGCCACUACAUGUAUACACUUAACAUAAAAACAUCACAAAUCACUUUAUCAAUUUCCACAUUUUCUUUAUAUCUGAAGCCAGGCUAUUUUAUUU